rnacentral:piRNA from 1 species
GAGAGAUCGUUCAACCACUGAGA